UCCCUAUUACUAGAGCAGUCCAAAUAGAAAAAUACAACUAUUUGCAAGGGUUGCGCUCGUUGAUGGACUUAACCAAACAUCUCACGACACGAGCUGACGACGGCCAUGCAACACCUGUCACCAAGUUCAAUAAAGCACUCUCGCCUUUCGGCAAAAUUCUUGGGAUGUCAAACCCUGGUAAGGUUUAUCGGUUAGCAUCGAAUUAAAGAACAUAAUCCACCGCUUGUGCUGAUCCCCGUCAAUUCCUUUAUGUUUUAGUCUUGCGACCGUACUCCACAGGCGGGAUACUUAACGCGUUAGCUUCGCUACUGAAGGGGUCGAUACCUCCAACAGCUAGUAUCCAUCGUUUACGGCGUGGACUAC
rnacentral:misc_RNA from 1 species